rnacentral:rRNA from 1 species
AAUCUUACCUGGGGAGACAGCAGAAUGAAGGUCAAGCUGAAGACUUUACCAGACACGCUGAGAGGUGGUGCAUGGCCGUCGCCAGCUCGUGCCGUGAGAUGUCCUGUUAAGUCAGGUAACGAGCGAGACCCCUGCGUCUAGUUGCUACCAUUACUNNNNGGAGCAGNNNNGCGAANUAGNNGGANNNCCACAGUUAAUGUGGAGGAAGGAAGGGGCCACGGCAGGUCAGUAUGCCCCGAAACCCUAGGGCUACACGCGGGCUGCAAUGGUAUUGACAAUGUGUUCCGAAUCCGAAAGGAGGAGGCAAUCAUCA